UAAAGUUUUAUUCUUGCUUAUUUAUUCGCUUUUUCUUUGUAUUAUAAGUAAGUUUUGUUUAACUAAAUGUUCUUUUAGCAGUGAUUUAAUUUAAUUAUCAAGUUAUUUUGGAAUUAGUAAUUGAUUUAGUAUUGGCAUAUUUCGUGCCAGCAGCCGCGGUUAUACGAUUAAUGCAAGUGAAUAUUUUUAGUUAUAACAGUUAUUUAUAUUUUAGAGUUGUAUUUAAAAUUUAUAAGGUGAAAUUUAAAAUUUUUAGAAAUCUCUUUUUAUGAAUCUGUGAAACUUAAAUAAUAAACUAGGAUUAGAUACCCUAUUAUUUUUAGUGUAAAGUUUAUUUACUGGGGUACUUAUAGUUAUGAUCUUAAAACCCAAAGAAUUUGGCGGUAUCUUAUUCCAUUCAGAGGAACCUACCCCGUGAUUGAUAGUACACGAUUAACUUUACUUGAUUUAUUUGUUUGUAUAUCUCCGUUAUCAGAAAAUCUUUUUGGAGUAAUAAUUUUCUUUAUUUAUUAUUAUAAAGUAUUUCAGGUCAAGGUGCAGCUAAUAAUUAAGAGGAGGUUGGUUACAAUAUAUUUUUAUAUAUAAUGGAUUGAAAUGUUGUAAUACAUUAAUGAAGGUGGAUUUGAUAGUAAUUUGAUUUAUUUAAUUUAAUUGAUAUUGGCUCUAAGGUGUGUACACAUCGCCCGUCACUCUCAUUAUUAAUUGUUAUUUUUAAUUUAAAAAAUAGAAUUUUAUUUAGGUGAGAUAAGUCGUAACAUAGUAGAUGUACUGGAAAGUGUAUCUAGUAAGGUAU
rnacentral:ncRNA from 1 species